GGUAGGGUGACCCAAGGGACUCCCCCUAUAUUUCAUUUAAUUAGUUAUAUUGAUCCAUACAUGAAUAUAUAUUGUUUUGGUGUGGGGAUCUCGACCGUUUCCAAGUUCUCAAACAGGAGGGUUGGGAUGACCACAGGGACUUCCCUUAUAUUUCAUUUGAUUUGUUAUAUUGUCCCAUACAUGAGUAUAUAUGGUUUAGGGUAAGGAUCUUGACCAUUUCCAAGUUCUCAAACAGGAGGGUGAACAGUGACCUCAGGGACUCCCCUAUCUUUCAUCUGAUUUGUUAUAUUGUCCCAUACAUGAAUAUAUAUGGUUUAGGGAUGGGGAUCUCGACCAUUUUUAAAUUCUAAAACAGGAGGGGUGGGGUGACCCCUAGCGACUCUUCCUAUAUUUCAUUUGAUUUUUCAUAUUGUCACAAACAUGAAUAUAUAUGGUUAAGGGGUGUGGAUCUCGACCGUUUCCAAGUUCUCAAACAGGAAGGGGUGGGGUAACUCCAGGGACUCCCCCUAUAUUUCAUUUUUUAUUUAUUAUAUUGUCCUAUACUUGAAUAUAUGCAGGGGCGGAUUCAGACGGGGGAGGGUUGCGGGCUUGCACCCCCCUUAAAUUUGCAAAGCAUGGGUUGUUCUCAGCUUAAUAAAGAAAAAUUCCGAUAAUUUUACCUCAAUUUUUUUUUAGCCUCGCUCUGCUCGGCGAAAAUUUAAGUUUGCGCCCCUCCUAACCUAAAAUCCUGGAUCUGCCCCUCAUAUGGUUUAGGGUGGGGAGCUCGACCGUUUCCAAGUUAUCAAACAGGAGGGGGUAGAGUGGCCCAAAGAAUGCCACCUAUAUAUCAUAUGAUUUACUUACAUUAAGGUAUAUAUAAUAUAGUUGCAUUAUUUGUGAAAAUAAAGAAUGAAACUUUCAGCUACUUUAAUUGACCCUUCAAAAUUGAGAAAAAACAAAUAACCCCUCGAAAUUGCAGUAAUAUGUUUACACUUUAAAAGCAUCUCACAU
rnacentral:lncRNA from 1 species